AACCGGGAGAGGUAAGAGGUACUACAGGGGUAGGAGUGAAAUCUUGUAAUCCCUGUGGGACCACCUGUGGCGAAGGCGUCUUACCAGAACGGGUUCGACGGUGAGGGACGAAAGCUGGGGGCACGAACCGGAUUAGAUACCCGGGUAGUCCCAGCCGUAAACGAUGCUCGCUAGGUGUCAGGCAUGGCGCGACCGUGUCUGGUGCCGCAGGGAAGCCGUGAAGCGAGCCACCUGGGAAGUACGGCCGCAAGGCUGAAACUUAAAGGAAUUGGCGGGGGAGCACAACAACGGGUGGAGCCCUGCGGUUUAAUUGGACUCAACGCCGGACAACUCACCGGGGGCGACAGCAAUAUGUAGGCCAAGCUGAAGACUUUGCCUGAAUCGCUGAGUGGAGGUGCAUGG
rnacentral:rRNA from 1 species